rnacentral:rRNA from 1 species
UACAGAGGGUGCAAGCGUUGUUCGGAAUUAUUGGGCGUAAAGGGAGUGUAGGCGGUCUGUUAAGUCUUCUGUGAAAUCUACGGGCUUACCCUGUAAAGUGCAGAGGAAACUAGCAGGCUUGAGUGUCGGAGAGGAUAGGGGAAUUCCCGGUGUAGAGGUGAAAUUCGUAGAGAGUCGGGAGGAACACCUGUGUCGAAAGGAGGCUGCCUGGGCCGCAACUGACGCUGAGGCGCGAAAGCUAGGGGA